rnacentral:rRNA from 1 species
GAUGAACGCUGGCGGCGUGCUUAACACAUGCAAGUCGAACGAUGAAGCUCAGCUUGCUGGGUGGAUUAGUGGCGAACGGGUGAGUAACACGUGAGUAACCUGCCCUUAACUCUGGGAUAAGCCUGGGAAACUAGGUCUAAUACCGGAUAGGAGCGCCUACCGCAUGGUGGGUGUUGGAAAGAUUUAUCGGUUUUGGAUGGACUCGCGGCCUAUCAGCUUGUUGGUGAGGUAAUGGCUCACCAAGGCGACGACGGGUAGCCGGCCUGAGAGGGUGACCGGCCACACUGGGACUGAGACACGGCCCAGACUCCUACGGGAGGCAGCAGUGGGGAAUAUUGCACAAUGGGCGAAAGCCUGAUGCAGCGACGCCGCGUGAGGGAUGACGGCCUUCGGGUUGUAAACCUCUUUCAGUAGGGAAGAAGCGAAAGUGACGGUACCUGCAGAAGAAGCACCGGCUAACUACGUG